AAGACUAUACUUUCAGGGAUCAUUUCUAUAGUUUGUUACUAGAGAAAUCUCACUGAUCGUGUAGAGCACCGAAAACCACGAGGAGGAGGUGCAGCAUUUUCCUCUGAGCGUGAAGCUGGCAAUUGGUGUUGCUUUUUAGCAGCUGCCUCUUGCCAUUGAUGAUCGUUCUUCUCUCCCUUUGGGAGAGUAAGAGGGGGAGGAUGCAGUCUGAGUGGU